GUGGUGUAGGAAGUAUAAAACAAGACUCUUUUGAUUUUUUUUCUCAUAAAAAAUAGAGCCGAAAUCUUAGAACCCCACCCUAGAACACACGCCCAAAGAGGAAAUAGUUUUUCUCUUUCUGUCGCAUAGAGUGGCUCGCCCUCUCUUUGUUUCAUGCCCCCCUCUCUCUUAGAAACCAAUUUCCAUGAUAAAAGCCUCACCUUUUGUCGCACAAAAAUGGAGAGGUUUUAAUCUAGGCGUGGAGAUGAGAUAGGAUAGGAUAAACAUAAGAUAAUUUAGUUCAAAUUCAAACCUAUUUGAAUUCAAAACCCAACUAAUCCAAUCCUAUCCUAAGGGGGCACAAAAAAGAGGUUAGAAACAUCAGAUUGGUGUGGAAAAAUAUCAUGCAAAAUAGUUUCUCACAUAUAGGAAGAGAGGUCGGCAUUGGGAAGAGUCCAACUAGAUUUGGACUUUAAGUUAAAAUCCAAAUUCAAACUAUUUAAACUUAAAUUUUAAACCAACCUCAUCCAAAUCCAAAAGGGAUCAGAAAGUGGGCAACAAUCCUUUUCUGGGUGUGAGAAACAUUCAUGCAGAAACAUUUCUUGUGUGAGGAAAAAAAAGGGCACAAAGAUAGGAUGGCACAUGGAUUUUGAUUCACAUCCAUUUGAACUUAAAAUUUAUCUAAUUAGGUUCUCAACCAAACUAAAUUAGGUUGGAUCCAUCUAGACCAUUGACCCUAAUCUAAUUAGGUAACAAAUUACCUCGAUUAAAUUUUAAUCAAAUUAAAAAUUAAUCGAG
rnacentral:lncRNA from 1 species